GAGGUGACAUUGGCACCGAAAGAAAAGGGUAAAUCGCCCAAGGAUCUCAGUUUUACGGACGAGGCGACAGAACUGAGCACUGUCUAAGUUCCUCCUGGAUGGCUUUCAAAAUUCCAACUACCAUCGAGGUUCUCUGCCUCAGUAGAGUUGGAUAUCCAGAAGGGAUAUCUC